rnacentral:lncRNA from 1 species
AAAUGAAAUAAAAUUGUGAAACGAUCCAAUCUAUAUAUUAAUAUUCGUGUGUAAAUUGGUUAUUGUAUUCAUAAACUAUUUUAUAUAUUGACGUUUGAUAAUACUAUUGUGGUUAUCUGCUUACCUACAAACAAGUAAACAAAAUAAGUUUUAAAAAACCUCAUAUGAGUGAGAAGACUGUUAUGGAUGAAUAUUGUUGGCUAAUGAUUCAGGGACAUGGAUAUAUCCGAAUAAAAUAAAAAAAAGAGAAGUGUUGAGACCAAUGUCAUUGUCUGGUUUUCAACAAGGGGAGGCAUGAUGACAUAUAUGUGAAAAAAGAUUAUUACCGCAUCGGCUUUCGAAAAGGCAGACUAAUUCGGAGAGAGAGAGAGAGCGACUGAGAUGAUUUUUGUUUGACAUUUUUCGAAAACGAGAUUUUUUUUGUUGUGUUCCGUCCGAUUGAGGCUUGGUGGAGACAUGGCCGGAGCUAAUGAUGAUGAUUAUGAUCGUAACAACCGCCGGAUUGCUAACUGAUAUAUUUCAAGGACAAAGCUAAUACCCAUUUCUGGGUAUGCAAAUAUGGCUAACCCACUAUAAAUACACAUUCUUGUUUUGAGUCCUGAGGCAUUCAUCACCUCUCUUCUUCUUCAUCCUUCUUCUAUAUUUUUUCUUUGGUUUAAGCUGGGAAAUGGAUGUACUGAAGUUUGAUUACAACCACAAGGGUGACAAUGCAUUAAAGGAGCUCGAGAGGAUCACCUCGAAGGCUGCUGAAGUCCAAGAUAAUAUGUUAAGUGGGAUCUUAGAAAGAAACAAGGACACACAGUACUUGAGAAAGUACAUGAAAGGCUCUAAGGACGUUAUGGAGUUUAAACGCUCUGUGCCAGUCAUCACGUACAAAGAUGUAUGUCCUUACAUUCAGAGAAUUGCAAAUGGAGAAGACUCUUCUCUGAUUACUGGUCAUCCUAUCACUGAGAUACUAUGCAGGUCGAUUUUUAUUUCUAGCCUGAAUCUCUUUCUUAGUAACAGCCUCCCCUUCCUUUGUGUUUGAAUAUAAAUUUGUGUAUGGCUAAAUAAAUGUAUCUGCUUGCUUUCAUGUUGCAGCUCAGGAACUUCUGGUGGAGAGCCGAAGCUAAUGCCAACCAUUUCGGAAGAUCUUGAUCGGCGCACCUUUGUCUACAAUCUUAUCAAUCCAAUCGCGAACAAGUUAGUACAAUGUUUCCUGUUAAUAUUCAGUCCUGAUAUACUUUAACAUCCUCCUUGUUGCUCUUAUAAGAGUAGUGAUUAGUGAAGAAGGAAUUACAUCUUCCAUGCACAUGAAUAUUUACUUGAUAAAAAACAAAGUGGCUGAUCUCAUAUUCCAUAAAAGAACCACUAGGACUGUUCCUGUAGUUGUAGGAUAGUGGAUAUGUCUCAAAAUCUGACCUAUGGAAGUGGAAGUACACAUCACAUCACAAUUCCUCCAUGUUAUUAUCCACUGGAAACAUUUAAUAAAAAAGGAAAAAAAUUAAAAAGGUUAACGAUAGGCUUCAAUGUGAAUAUGGCUUCAUAAUCAUUGUAGGCACUAACAUAUGGAAUCUGGAUACACAUGCAUAGAUGUACUGGCCGUGGUACCAAUAAAUCUUCAUAGUAGGUUGCUCACUAAGGAAGUUUGCUUUCUGCUUUGAGUUUUGUGUUUGCUUUUUGUGGAAAUUAAGUGGUAUCAUGUCAUGUACUAUAAAGUUUGCAUCCAUCAUCUUUUAUCCACACGCCAUUUUGAUGUCCCCACCCAAAGAUUCUCUGAGAAUUUUGAACAGCACUUACUAAACCUCAAGAAUCUUUUCAUAUCCACUACUGAUUUUUCUUUUCUUUCAUUUUACCUCUUUUACCAUCGUCUCUCUUUACUAUGUUUUUGACUGAGAUUUAUUAUAUGUAUUACUGACAGGUAUCUAGAAGGACUUGACAAAGGAAAAACAAUGUACCUAAACUUCGUCAAAGCUGAAACAUCAACUCCUUGUGGUUUACCAAUCAGAACUGUCCUCACUAGCUACUACAAGAGCAAACAUUUCCAGUGCCGACCUUACGAUCCAUUCAACGACUUAACCAGUCCCAUCCAAACCAUCCUUUGUGAAGACAGCAACCAAAGCAUGUACUGUCAGUUACUUGCCGCUCUUAUUCACCGUCACAAAGUCAUGCGUCUCGGAGCUGUCUUCGCUUCAGCCUUUCUCCGUGCAAUCUCUUAUCUCGAGCGAAAAUGGAGCCAGCUCUGCCAAGACAUCCGCACCGGCCAUCUCAGUCCCAUGAUCACCGAUCCAGGAUGCCAGACGGCUAUGACUUCUCUUCUAGCCUCGCCAAAUCCUGACUUAGCUGACGAGGUUGAAGAAAUCUGUGGACGCCCGUCGUGGAAAGGGAUUCUGUGUCAACUCUGGCCUCAAGCAAAGUUCAUUGAAGCAGUAGUGACAGGCUCAAUGGCUCAGUACAUACCAGCGCUUGAGUUCUUUAGCCAAGGCAAGAUUCCGUUGGUUUGUCCAAUGUAUGCUUCCUCCGAGACUUACUUUGGAGUCAACGUGAAGCCACUCUCCAAGCCAUCUGACGUCGUUUUCACGCUCUUGCCCAACAUGUGCUACUUCGAGUUCAUUCCUCUCGGCAAAAACGGAACUCUCUCUUUUGACGUAGAGGACGAAGAAGUCGUCCCCUGUGACAAAGUGGUUGACUUGGUCGACGUCAAACUCGGACGCUACUAUGAACUCGUCGUCACAACCUUCGCAGGUAAAGAAACUGGUGGCAUUGUCUUCUCCUUUUUAGUCAGCUCUGACUCUUGCAUGGAAACAGGAUUGUACCGUUACAGAAUCGGCGAUGUCCUUCAAGUGGCGGGGUUCUACAACAAAGCACCACAGUUCAGGUUUAUCUGCAGGAGAAACGUGGUUCUAAGCAUCGACUUAGACAAAACCAACGAGGAAGAUCUUCACAGGAGCAUCACGCUGGCCAAGAAGAAGCUUGAAAACAAGGCAUUCCUCGCGGAGUACACGAGCUACGCGGAUACUUCAUCAGUGCCAGGUCACUACGUGCUCUUCUGGGAGAUCCAAUGGCUCGAACCUGAUGAUGAGGAGGAGAAGCUGCUGAUGGAAGAGUGUUGCAUUGCGGUUGAGGAAGAGCUGGAUUACAUAUACAGGCAAUGCAGGAAGAGAGAUAGAUCGGUGGGGCCUUUAGAGAUAAGAGUGGUGAAGCCAGGGACGUUCGAGAAGCUGAUGGAUAUGAUAAUAAGCCAAGGAGGGUCGCUUAAUCAGUACAAAACGCCGAGAUGUGUUAAGUCCAACAGUGCUAUGCUCAAGCUCUUGGACGGCCACGUGACCGGUUCCUUCUCUAGCCCUCGUGAUCCAACCUGGUCCCCUUGAUGUCGAACGUAUGUAUUGAUCGGAGAGACUAUAAUUUACUAAUCAGUAUUCGGUAAUAACCAAAUGGGAUCGGAUUUGCUGUAAUGCUAGCAGUAGCAGGCAUGUAAUGCUACUACCUGAUUGAUUAAAAAAUGUUAUAAGAAACUUCAUUUACCGAGUUAUCUAUCUCUUAUAGUUCCUUUCAGUUUCUCGUCGCAUAAUAUAACUUUAGUACCGAGUUACUUAUAUCGUAUGAUUUACAAUAUAUUAAGGAAUUUUAAGACGAUCAUCAUCCUCAAGCCCUCUUGAAACAAAAGCUACUGUGGGAUUCUUUUUUUGUAUUCUCUGGCAUGGCUUCUGAGGAAGAGUUGUAUUCAUUGGGUGUUUGAAGUGUGUUUCCCGGCCCAAACAUAUAACACAAGAGUCCAAUCUGUUUAUCCAACUGUCGUUGGUUACAAAUUUAAUUACAUCAUCAUCCACUUUGUCGGCACUUAAUCUUAUCAGGAUCAUGGAUAAAUGCCAUGUGAUCUGUGAACAUGGCUUCUUAACGGACAGAAACCCCACGUACGCUGUCUCCCAAAACUUGAUUCGGAUAAUACUGAAAUGAAAAAGCAAUUAUUAUGAUUGUUUUUUGAUUUUUCUCUUGUGUUGAACAUAUAUAGUCAGCCAAAAGACAUGAAGCGCAUCUGGUGUAGUGGUAUCAUAGUACCCUCCCACGGUACUGACCAGGGUUCGAUUCCCUGGAUGCGCAUUUUUUUGUGCAAGAGUGUUCCGGUUUGGUUUGCAUAGGUUUUUUGGGCUUGGUUAAGGAUUAGUAGUGGAAACUGGCUUAGAUGCAUUCAGAUUAUCCAUCUCUUGGCCUAGAUUCCCAGUUAGUCUCUUAAACUUAUGCUCCUCUCUUUCCAUUUUCUUUAACUGGAAGGGAACCAAUUAAGAUCAUGAGCUCUUGUCUCAUUAAUUAGAAGGAAGAGGUCUUGUUAAGCCGAAAGGUCUAGAGUUCUACAAGAACUAAUAUAUUCAGUAUUGGAGGCUACAAAAAUGGGGGGUACAAAACCACCUGGUCGUUGUUCGGCCUGCUUCUCAGGGAACUCUUCCACUGAACCAUAUAUGGUAGCACAUAACUUGCUGCUUGCCCACGCCUCUGCUUCUAGACUAUAUAAGCAAAAGUACAAGGUAAUAUUUCAAAGUCCGGUAAUUGAAUAUGAUAAAGCUUAUUGUUUAGCUGCAUGAUCUCAGUUGUUUUAUUGCACAGCAUACACACAACACAUAAAAAAAAGAGCAGGAGGUACAUAACCUAAUAAUAAUGAUAAUAAGCAACAAAGGAACAAAUCAUUUAUGUCAAACGAAGGAAAAAUCUCAGGGAUGUAACAAAAGCACCAUAUGUCACUGCUUCUGGAGGUGAAGAACCUUAACCCAAGCAGGCCUGGCAGUGAUCUUCUUGAUCCACUCCUUAACCUUAGGGCGAGACUCAAAGAGCUUCUUGGAGUCGGUACCCAUCAAGUAAUAGAUGAUUGGGAGGUGGUGAAGAUCAGCCAGAGUGAAGCAAUCACCAGCCAAGAAGGGUGAUUUGGAGAGCCUGGCCUCGUAGAUAUCCAAGACCUUCACCAACUUAGCUUCGAGGUCUUCCACAGCGGCAGGGUCAGUGGUCAUGCCAAGCAUGCCUUUGAAGACACGCUCGAAGGCUAGCUUAGAGGCGAUAGGGUCAAACUGUUGACCUUCAACUUGAAGCCAGACCUUUGUGGUGGCCUUGAGUUUCUUGCAGCCUUGGCAGAGAAGCUUCUCGCCUUUGUCGCUGUACUCCUCCGCUAUGUACUCUGUGAUGGCUCUUGACUCUGAAAAACAAAAAUGAAUUCAUGUGUAUCAUUGAUACUUAACCAACACGUAAUGAAAACAGAUUAAGAAAAAAAAGGAACUAACCGAAAAGCGUCAGAUCACCGUCUAGGAGAGCAGGGAUUUGACCGAAGGGCUAAAAAAAAGAAAAAGGAAAGAGCAGAGUGGUCAGAUAUGUGAAUGUGAUGAUGAAAACCAAAUUAACCAAAGCUGUGUAGAGAGUUAUUACGUACGUUGAGGGAGAUGAGAGGCUCCUGCUUGUGAGCACCGGCUUUCAUGUCGACGGGGACUAUCUCGAAAUCGAGGCCCUUCUCGUAAAGAGUAGCCAGAACGCGCAUUGUGGCCGUUGAUAUUGGAAGUCCGUGUACUUUGAUGCCGCCGCCCAUGCUUAUAAGCUUUUAAUUGGAUCUGAAGGGGUGAAUGGUGGUGCAUGGUGUUUUAUAGGUGGAGGAGGAGGCAAGGCAAGAGAAGAAUAAGUCGUUGUUGCCAUUCUUUUCGUUUGCACAAACUUCUCACCACCACAUCACCACGUCUCCUCUUCCUCCUCCUUCUCCCACUUUCUCUCUGUUUAUUUGUAACCUCUAUUUUUUUUUUUUAUCGUUUUAACCCAUUUGGUUUUGUAACUACAGAUUCAUAUACAUACAUAAAAUAAAUAAAGAAGUUAACGUUGGUUAUGCCCCCAUGCAUGUUUAAGAAAAGUAAUUUAAUAUUUCAUGCAUGGUAUCAGGUAUCAAUCCACCAAAUUUGUUUAACGAUGGUAACGUUUUAAAUUUGAUUUAUAUCCGAAUUUAACGUUUAGGAUGGUUAUACCUAAUAUCAGUCAACAAAAAGAUAAAAUAAAAUAGAUAGAUAGAUAUAUAUUAGCGCCUAUUCAAAUCACAAAACAACAAGUGUAGGUCGGUGUAUAUGGGGUACAUAAAAAAAAUAUGUGGUGGAGGCAUAUGUUGGGUAUAAUAAUUACACCAAUCAAAAGAGAGCAUAAUCUAACGAGGACCAUCCACGUAAUAAAAAAAUAUCGCAUUCAUUCCUUACUCUUUCAGUUGUACUUGUAUACAAACUCCUUUCUAAAUUUUAUAAUCGGGAUCGAUCUCUCUUUCUCUGAAACAUUUUGGAAACUUCUAGGUAAGGCUUCUUCAUUCCAAAGCAAGACCACAAUUUUUCUUCAUGGCCACCGGAGAGGAGAAACCUGUUAUGGUCGUCGGUAUCGACGAAAGCGAGCAGAGCACUUACGCCUUGGAGUGGACCCUCGAUCGUUUCUUCACUCCCUACGCUCCUAAUUUUCCUUUCAAGCUCUUCAUCGUCCACGCCAAACCUAACGCCGUCUCUGCCGUUGGUCUUGCUGGUCCCGGUACCCUCUUUUGAUUGACUAGCUAGGAACUGUCUUCUUCUAUCUAGGUUUCUCUGUUUCAGAUAUAUAUCAUUUGCGGUUUCUUUUUUCUUUUUAGGAGCUGCGGAGGUUCUGCCUUAUGUUGAUACCGAUUUGAAGCAUAUUGCUGCCAGGGUUAUCGAGAUGGCUAAAGGUAUCUGUCAGAGCAAAUCGGUAAGUAUUCACUCAUUAAUUCUUCGACUAUUUCAUAAAGGAUAAUUAUAAGAGAGCGUAUACAAUGAUGUUUCAAUGUUUGAUGAGCUAUAUUUGUUUUGAAUCUCUACAUCAUUCAAGCUUAGAUACUCCUUAUAGUUUUUUCCUUCUUUACUUUAUAAUUGAUCUUUUAUAUUUUUUUGUUUUUUUUUGUAAAAGUAAUUUAUCUAUUUUUAGUUACGUACUAGCUUCUUCUCAAUCAUUGAUUCUCUAGGUUUGUGCCGUGUAGGUUAAUGGCGCUAUGUUCGAAGUUUUUGAAGGUGAUGCAAGAAGUAUACUGUGCGAUGUUGUGGAUAAACAUCAUGCUUCUCUUCUUGUCGUGGGAAGCCAUGGUUAUGGAGCUAUCAAGAGGUAUAUAAUAUCUUUGUGUAUUUAAUUAUUAUAAUACUCACAAUCAUCAAUCUUGACUAUUUUUCUCGGCUUUAAUUCCCGACUCCUAUCACAGGGCGGUUCUAGGGAGCGUGAGCGACUACUGUGCUCAUCAUGCUCAUUGCUCGGUGAUGAUCGUGAAGAAGCCUAAGAUCAAGCACUGAUGAUCACCUAAACCCAAGCUGUUAUAUCAGUCAAAGCAAAGCAAAGUCUCAUCUGCAUAGUCGUCAGUUUCGGUGAAAUGAAAUAAAAUUGUGAAACGAUCCAAUCUAUAUAUUAAUAUUCGUGUGUAAAUUGGUUAUUGUAUUCAUAAACUAUUUUAUAUAUUGACGUUUGAUAAUACUAUUGUGGUUAUCUGCUUACCUACAAACAAGUAAACAAAAUAAGUUUUAAAAAACCUCAUAUGAGUGAGAAGACUGUUAUGGAUGAAUAUUGUUGGCUAAUGAUUCAGGGACAUGGAUAUAUCCGAAUAAAAUAAAAAAAAGAGAAGUGUUGAGACCAA